CCUACGGGAGGCAGCAGUGGGGAAUCUUCCGCAAUGGGCGAAAGCCUGACGGAGCAACGCCGCGUGAUCGAAUGAAGGCCUUCGGGUUGUAAAGAUCUGUUGACAGGGACGAAUAAGCAAUGCGAAUAGUUUUGUGUAUGACGGUACCUGUUUAGAAAGCUCCGGCUAACUACGUGCCAGCAGCCGCGGUAAUACGGAGGGAGCAAGCGUUGUCCGGAAUUACUGGGCGUAAAGGGCGCGUAGGUGGGCGCUUAAGUCAGGUGUGAAAACUUCGGGCUCAAGCUGGAGAUUGCACUUGAAACUGGGAGUCUUGAGUACAGUAGAGGAGGGCGGAAUUCGUGGUGUAGCGGUGAAAUGCGUAGAUAUUAGGAAGAACACCGGUGGCGAAGG
rnacentral:rRNA from 1 species